rnacentral:rRNA from 1 species
UACGAAGGGGGCUAGCGUUGCUCGGAAUCACUGGGCGUAAAGCGCACGUAGGCGGAUUGCUAAGUCAGGGGGUGAAAUCCUGGAGCUCAACUCCAGAACUGCCUUUGAUACUGGCGACCUUGAGUCCGGGAGAGGUGAGUGGAACUGCGAGUGUAGAGGUGAAAAUUCGUAGAUAUUCGCAAGAACACCAGUGGCGAAGGCGGCUCACUGGCCCGAUACUGACGCUGAGGCACGAAAGCGUGGGGGAGCAAACAGG